rnacentral:lncRNA from 1 species
GAAUAAUCCAUAACCUGGACUGGCAAUUGAUUAUUUGCACCCAUUAUUUCCUGAAUAUAACAAUUGUAGUUGAAAUGUAUUUGUAUGUUCCCCGUAGGGGAGGGAGCAUUAAGUUUUACCCUUGUCCGUCAGUACGUCCCAAAGUUGGUUUCCGUUCUCUAACGUUAGUUUGCCUCAACCAAAUGUUAUAAAACUUACAAACAAUGCU